UACGGAGGAUCCGAGCGUUAUCCGGAUUUACUGGGUGUAAAGGGCGUGUAGGCGGGGACGCAAGUCAGAUGUGAAAACCACGGGCUCAACCUGUGGCCUGCAUUUGAAACUGUGUUUCUUGAGUACUGGAGAGGCAGACGGAAUUCCUAGUGUAGCGGUAAAAUGCGUAAAUAUAUGGAAGAACACCAGUGGCGAAGGCGGCUCUCUGGUCUGUAACUGACGCUGAGGCUCGAAAGCAUGGGUAGCGAACAGG
rnacentral:rRNA from 1 species